CCGUGGGAGCAGCGAGCAAUUGUUGCGUGAGUCCAGCAACCAAUGCGUCCCCAUCCCCUCCCCACCCACAUCGCCGCCGCCCCUCCGUCUCCCUCCCGCAGACCUCGCCGCCGGCCAUGCCCCCUACAGCCGUCGCCCCCAUCCUCUCCCCUCCCAUCCCCUACCCUCAUCAGAUGAGAAGGCAAGAGGGAGGGAAAUCGACCGAGCGGGCCAGGUCAGGCGGCGGCCAGAUUCGCCAUGAGCGUCAGCUUCUUCCUCGACUUGGAGCUCAAUCGCCUUCUUCUCUCCCGCCAUGGAGCCCGCCUCCUCGGGUCGAGCUACUCCCACCAUGGAAAUGGAGGGCCUUCUUCUAUCCCGCCGGCCAUGGAGCCGCCGCUCCAUGGAAGGAAGGCCUGGAGCUCGUCGAGGUAGCUAGUGACCGAGACGACGCCGGCAACCCAAGCAAGCUCGAGGCCUGCCCCUUCUGCAAAUUCGCGGGAUCCGCCAUGCCAUGCUGUCAGCUUCUUCUUCAACCGGGAGCUCCAUCCCCACAGUCACCCCGACACUAUGGAAGAUAGAGUGGCCAGCCAGCGACCUAUGUAAACUCGAGGUCUGCUCCUUCUGCACAUUCGUGGGAUCUGCCACGGGCGUCGGCUUCUUCUUCAACCUGGAGCUCCAUCCCCACAGUCACCGUCCACAUUGCUGCUCCGACCUUGAUGUCAUGGAAGUUUAAUCCUUUGAAGCAAUCAAUACUUGGAAGUUGGAGCCAUACCACGUUCAUCUUGGACCUGUUGUCCGACUAUGAAAUGAACAUUGUUCUCAAGACAAACCACUAUGCAUGCAAACAUUUCAUUGCUUAUGUGCACCUUUCCUAAGGAUAAGACCGAGCACGAGGAUAAUGUAGAGGAUGUAUCCCUCAGGGACAUCCACAACACCGACUCGGGGAAUCUCCUGGACGGAAUUGAGCACAUCGAAGAGAUUUACAAGUAAUACAGAGAAAAUUAGGUGAUCUAUUGUCCAUUGGUGGCUCAUAAUGUGCAUCCUCAUGGAUAUCGACAGCACCAUCUCGGGGAAUCUCCUGGACGCAACUGAGCACGUCGAAGAGAUUUACAAGUUCUACAGAGAAAAUGAGGCGAUCUAUUGUCCAUUAGUGUCUCAUAAUGUGUAUCCUCAUUUUGUGAUUUCUUUUUUUCAGAUUUUCAUAAAAUGCGAAGGUACCUUACUGUCAUUAUGCUUGAUUUGUUGUUGUGUGAUUAAUUUGACCAGGACCCUCUAAUCAGUACACAUUAAACAAUAGUUCUAUUGUUGUGUGAUUUAAUGAAAUGCAUUAACAAAAAGAUGCCUACCUUAUACAGUAAACAAUAGUUCUACCAAAUAUUCAGAUGCAAACCUCUCAAUAAGAGAGCAAAACAAAUACCUAGCUCACUGGGUGCGUUCGCUAAUCAGAGCAAAACUAUGAACACACUGUUUGUUAUCCAUCUCUGUGUGUUGCUUUCUCUCUAGUUAGCAUUAUCCUUGUGUUUUAAAAAAAAACAAGGAAAAGAAUUUGCUUUCUAGUACACACCACCGUUAGUUACUUCGUCACCACCACACUUCUCAUCUCACUACUUGUCUUAUACAGUAAUAUCAUGCAUUUUAUUUCAUGAUAAGCACCAAUAUUACUUUUUAUGAAACAUGCACAUUGUUUUUGUUUUUGUCUCCUAACUAAAAUUCUUCCAGUGUGAAGCACCUCCUCCCACCUCCACCUUCUUCCUUGCACGCCGUUGCCGAUUCCUCCUUGGACGACCAGCAUUGGUGUGGAGGAGUGGUUAACACUAACCGGUGAAGCUUGCGAGUGGCGUGCCAUGUGGAUGGAUCCAGAACCGACCGUUGUGGAUUCGCCGCCUCACCAAGGUGUCGUUCCUCCCCUGGGUUGCACAAGCUUUGUCAGGCAGCUGCUGAUUCCGUAUGAUGAUGGCCUGCACCAUGUAGCUUCCCCUUUCUGGAGCAGCUUCUGGAUCCAAGGUAUUCAUCCAUUUCUCUGCUGUACUAAAGCAUGGAAAAGGUUUCUCUUGUUGAGUUUAGGUUGAUGUUAGUCUGAUGAUGGUUUAUAUGGGAGGCUAUUAUUUUAUCUUAAGGUGCCAACGUGGUUGUAUGGACAGCUUAACUAUGCGUGUUUAUGAUAUUUCUGAGAGGUUGAUAGCAAUGUCAGUCUGUCAGUUUGCUUGCUACCAUUUGGUGUGUGGGAGGAGGAGGAGGAGGCGAUGCUUUCCAUGUGAAUGAGGAGGCCAGCGGCUGGUGUCCCCGUCGCCGUCCUGAGCCAGAGCAUGGCCGGCGCAGUGCAGCUUUGAUGGUCUGUUACUACUUGCGACACCAGCGGCUCGAUACAUUCCCUGCACCUAUUUUCCUUUCUCAGUGAAUCAGUCAGCAACAUCCCUUCUCACCACCACCGCCGGCGCCGCCCCAGCCCCAUCCGUCACCACCAUGCUCCUCCAGUAGAGAACCGCAAUGCACGCAGGCGGCUCCCCUGCCGCCGACGCACCUCUGCGGCUGCAAAUAGAGAAUCCUCGCCGUCUCGAUGCUCUACUGCACAAGUUCAGAUCCAGUGCUGGAGAGCGUCAGAGGCCGCCGGCCGCCCUACUGCAGUUCAGAUUCAGCGCCGGAGAGCAUUUUUUUGCAUGGGUCAGAGUCCCCUACAUCCCAGACGAGCUGCUGGAGACGCUCUCCCUCGCCCCCUUGGCCUCCUGGAAUGAGGAGGAUGCUCGAGGCUGUCAGCACGUGAUUCAUUCCGUGAGACGCGACUCGCCAUGGCAGAUCCAAGGUCAAAGGCCCUAGCUGUUCGAUUUCUUCAUGCCCCUCUCACCAAGUGGAGACUCAACUAUUCCAAGUGGGCAAGUGCCUGAUGCUAAUUACAGCAAAGCUGUCGAAUACCAUGGAUUUCGAAUCUGCAAGCAAAAACAUCAAGGUUAAGAUCGCCAUUGCAGGAAGGGUUUGCAAGAGGCAAAUCUGGACAAGGAUGAAUUCUGGGAGAACGUCUAUGACCCAAGUUAAUGGGUGCCACAAAAGAAGACUCAAGUGCAAAUUUCGUUGCAUUCAAGAUACUCAUCCAAGUCCUGUAUCAUGGGCUACUAGUUUGUGGUGUUAUUGGAUUCAGUUUGCCUCUCGCUGAUUUGAAUGCACUAUGCAUUUUUGAAUUACUCGGCCUUGAGUGAACUUGAUCUGGUCCUUUUCCUUCCUAUGCAUAACUGUGUUGGCUAGGUAAGGGGUCCGAGGACCGAGGUCCAUUGAACAACCUUCCAUAUUAGUUUUUCUGAUGUUACUCUAUGGUGUAAAGAGGUUAUGAGUACACAAGGGCCAUUUAAACGAUACGAUGCAACAUUUUUUGAGAGGUUUAUAGCACCGCGGUAGGGUCUUGGAUGCCUAUCAAUUUUCUUUGUUAAUUAGGUUAGUGCACGGCGAUGUGCAGCCCCGCCUCGGCCAUGGAUCACUGGUGCUGUCACUGUUGGGAGGCUGCAUUGUUUGCUCUUAGGGCAUCUCCAGACGCGCCCCCAGGAAGGCCUCCCCAGUCAAUUUUUUCAUGCCGGCGCCAAAAAAACGGCCUAGUCACGCCCCCAGGAGCCCGAUUUUCGCCGGUCUGGGCCGAAAACAGCACCGGCGGACCCAG